CUCACCAGAACAAAUUCAAUAAGCUGUAGUUGUACUGGUGACUAUAGUGUCCCUUUGAAGGGCAUAGAUCAGAGUGCUUGGACUACUUUCUUUACUGACAUCAACUCAAAAUCACACAGGGCACAUUUAGAGAUUUAUUUUUAAUACGCUAAAAAAAAAUGUUAGGGUUGUCACUUAUUAAAGUUAACAUGUCCAAGAGAAAAAGAAAGACAUGCUGCCAUUUUAUAGGGAAUAUGAUUUAAUCAGACAGAGUUUAUUAUGACACUUCCAAAAUGUGAUGGAUUGGCGAGUUCGUACUAAAUUAAUUUGUGU